GUGGUGGGGCAAUGGUACUGAGGCUUGGAAGUCAGUGAUGUUUCGUAAGACUGUUGUCUAAAAAUCUUUUCUACCAAAGUUCUUGGUUGCAAGCAACAGAAAUCCAUAAUUGACAACAAAAGCAACCAGGAGAUUACAUGAAGGGAAAGAGGGGGCUCACAGAAUUGAAGGGAUGCCGGAGAACAAGAAGCUGAAGGCAGGAAGCAGAGCAGGAGACACAGAAACCUCUGGUACCUGGGGCAGACAGACAGAAAAUCUCAACAUUGAAGGAGCCUUGGACAACCACCUAAUCCUAUAUUCAUUGAAUAGUUGAACUGUAUCCGCCCAGCGUAAUACCCAUGGCAACUGGUCUUCCACAUAUGAUGAAAUGGCCUCUGAGAGGUUAAGUCACUCACCCAAAAUUUCCACUGCCAGGAAGUGGUAGUGAUGGGAUUCAAACCUGGAUGGCCCUGAGACCAGAGCUUCCGCUCUACCCACUUCACUAUACUUCUCUUACUACAGGUUCUGUAUUGAGGGCUGCGGAUACAAAGAUGGACAAGAACCUUCCUUCUGCUUCUCAC